rnacentral:rRNA from 1 species
UACGUAGGGGCAAGCGUUGUCCGGAUUUAUUGGGCGUAAAGCGCGCGUAGGCGGCAAGGUAUGUCGUGCGUGAAAUCUCCCGGCUUAACUGGGAGGGCCGUGCGAAACUGCCUGGCUUGAGGUCGGAAGGGGAAAGUGGAAUUCCGGGUGUAGUGGUGGAAUACGUAGAUAUCCGGAGGAACACCAGCGGCGAAGGCGGCUUUCUGGUCCGAUUCGUGACGCUG